rnacentral:rRNA from 1 species
UUGGACAAUGGGCGAAAGCCUGAUCCAGCCAUGCCGCGUGUGUGAAGAAGGUCUUCGGAUUGUAAAGCACUUUAAGUUGGGAGGAAGGGCAGUUACCUAAUACGUAAUUGUUUUGACGUUACCGACAGAAUAAGCACCGGCUAACUCUGUGCCAGCAGCCGCGGUAAUACAGAGGGUGCAAGCGUUAAUCGGAAUUACUGGGCGUAAAGCGCGCGUAGGUGGUUAGUUAAGUUGGAUGUGAAAUCCCCGGGCUCAACCUGGGAACUGCAUUCAAAACUGACUGACUAGAGUAUGGUAGAGGGUGGUGGAAUUUCCUGUGUAGCGGUGAAAUGCGUAGAUAUAGGAAGGAACACCAGUGGCGAAGGCGACCACCUGGACUGAUACUGACACUGAGUGCGAG